AUACUUACCUAGAUGGGGUGAAACCAUGAUCAAGAAGGUGGUUCACCCAUGGCAAGGCUCAGCCAUUGUGCUCCGGUUGUGCUGACCCCUGCGAAUUCCCCAACUGUGUGAAUCUUAUUUCUUUUGGGGACAGUGGUAGCCUAGUGUGUAGAGCUUUGGGCUAUCA